AUUGAACGCUGGCGGCAGGCCUAACACAUGCAAGUCGAACGAGUGGCGGACGGGUGAGUAAUGUCUGGGAAACUGCCUGAUUGAGGGGGAUAACUACUGAAAACGGUCGCUAAUACCGCAUACCAUCGGAUGUUCCCAGAUGGGAUUAGCUAGUUGGUGGGGUAACGGCUCACCAAGGCGACGAUCCCUAGCUGGUCUGAGAGGAUGACCGGCCAUACUGGCACUGUGACACGGUCAAGCCUCACACGGUAGGAAGCAGUGGGUAAUAUUGGACAAUGGGAGCAAGCCUGAUGCAGCCAUGCCGCGUGUAUGAAGAAGGCCUUCGGGUUGUAAAGUACUUUCAGCCGGGAGGCGUUACCCGCAGAAGAAGCACCGGCUAACUCCGUGCCAGCAGCCGCGGUAAUUC
rnacentral:rRNA from 1 species